rnacentral:tRNA from 1 species
GGAUUAGCGCAAUUGGCAGAGCAACUGAUUUGUAAUCAGUAGGUUGUAGGUUCGAGUCCUAUAUCCGG